GGCUUAACCUGGUGCUCCUAUAAAAUAGGUGAUGCCGCCCAUCUCAUUGCAAGAUGUCAUAGGUUAGAUCGCCCAGGUUUGGCAGAGACGAGUGGAGGGCGUCUGGGCGCAGCUCCCUGUGAUGAUGCUGAGGCCUAGCAUCUGCUUCUGCAAGACGCACAGGGACAUCAAAACCGAUUCUCCACGAGACAGAGCCUUCAAUCGACGUUUCACUUUUAUGGACGGGUUUCUUACAAAGUAGAUUUCCUACAGCCAAUUCCCUGCGAUGGGGAGAGGCUGAGCCGCAGCAGGACAACACGGCAGCCGCCCGGGCAUGGACGCUGCGCACUGGAGUUGUGCCCGAGGUUGGCGCCUGCCCACCUCCUGCCCCAGGUCUCACGGGUGCCCCUGGGAUCUGACCUACCGGGACUGCCGUCAGUGUCCUGGUGGAAGAUGUGCAAGGUGUUUGCCUUUCUGAGCGGCAAGCUUUUUCCAGCUCCUGAGACCACAGUAGUUUGGGCUCUUGGAGGAGUGUUGGGACAAAUAAGGAACAGGAUGUAACUUGGCGUCAGUGUUUUCAUGGACUCAGGAGAAGAGAGCGGCAGCAGGAGCCGAGGAAGGGGCGAGUGGCCUCUGCUGGAGUCGGGGCCUCCAGCCAGAGUGAGCACAGGGCGUAACCCCCCAGGGAUGCCCAGAACCCCGAGAGGCACCCGGCUGGCUUCUUACAUACAGGAUGGAGCAUGGCGCCUUAGCCAACAUGACACAGAACGGUGGGGCUCAGUGAUGUCCAGCUUCAUUCUCAUCAGUGUCCUUGUAAUGCUCUUACCACAUUGCGAUGGUGGACGUGGGUAUUUAUUCUUGACUCCUUCUAUAUGGGCAUUUAUUUUGAUGGAAAAGCAUCUGAGUUGUAGGACGCACUAGCCCUCUUGUAGGCAAACCUGUGGAAGGUCUGGCUAUUUGGGUUAGGAAGCUGCAGAUAAGUGGGCACCAACCCUCCUGGGAUGACAAGGUGAGGCGGUUCCUCGGGCUGGAGACCUGGGCUCUAGGGAGAAAGAAGAGCCAGCUCUGAGCUGGGUUUGCCACUAAGAGAAGGAAUAGUCUCUCACACGCCAUCACUCUGAUGGCUGAAGACAGUCUCUGCUCUGCCUCCUCUCCUCGUGGCUCAAAGUAGGGCUGGGCAGGUGGGGAGGGAGGGCUGAGGGUUCCC
rnacentral:lncRNA from 1 species